UCCGAGCGUUAUCCGGAUUUAUUGGGUUUAAAGGGUGCGCAGGCGGGAUGUUAAGUCGGCGGUGAAAUUUUGCAGCUCAACUGUAAAAGUGCCUUCGAUACUGGCUUUCUUGAGUGUGGAUGAAGUAGGCGGAAUUUGUGGUGUAGCGGUGAAAUGCUUAGAUAUCACGAGGAACUCCGAUUGCGCAGGCAGCUUACUAAACCACUACUGACGCUCAUGCACGAAGGCGUGGGGAUCAAACAGGAUUAGAUACCCUGGUAGUCCACGCAGUAAACGAUGAUUACUAGUUGUUUGCGAUACAAUGUAAGCGACUGAGCGAAAGCGUUAAGUAAUCCACCUGGGGAGUACGUUCGCAAGAAUGAAACUCAAAGGAAUUGACGGGGGCCCGCACAAGCGGAGGAACAUGUGGUUUAAUUCGAUGAUACGCGAGGAACCUUACCCGGGCUUGAAAUGCGGCGGACCGGCAGAGAGAUCUGCCUUCCCUUCGGGGCCGCCGUGUAGGUGCUGCAUGGUUGUCGUCAGCUCGUGCCGUGAGGUGUCGGCUUAAGUGCCAUAACGAGCGCAACCCUCAUCAUUAGUUACUAACAGGUCAUGCUGAGGACUCUAGUGAGACUGCCAUCGUAAGAUGCGAGGAAGGUGGGGAUGACGUCAAAUCAGCACGGCCCUUACGUCCGGGGCGACACACGUGUUACAAUGGGUGGUACAAAGGGCAGCUACCUGGCGACAGGAUGCUAAUCUCCAAAACCACUCUCAGUUCGGAUCGGAGUCUGCAACUCGACUCCGUGAAGCUGGAUUCGCUAGUAAUCGCGCAUCAGCCACGGCGCGGUGAAUACGUUCCCGGGCCUUGCACACACCGCCCGU
rnacentral:rRNA from 1 species